AUACGUAGGUGGCAAGCGUUAUCCGGAAUUAUUGGGCGUAAAGAGGGAGCAGGCGGCAGCAAGGGUCUGUGGUGAAAGCCUGAAGCUUAACUUCAGUAAGCCAUAGAGACCAGGCAGCUAGAGUGCAGGAGAGGAUCGUGGAAUUCCAUGUGUAGCGGUGAAAUGCGUGGAUAUAUGGAGGAACACCAGUGGCGAAGGCGACGAUCUGGCCGGCAACUGACGCUCAGUCCCGAAAGGGUGGGGAGCAAAUAGGAUUAGAUCCCCUAGUAGUCCACGCCGUAAACGAUGAGUACUAAGUGUUGGAUGUCAAAGUUCAGUGCUGCAGUUAACGCAAUAAGUACUCCGCCUGAGUAGUACGUUCGCAAGAAUGAAACUCAAAUGAAUUGACGUGG
rnacentral:rRNA from 1 species